rnacentral:lncRNA from 1 species
AAAAGUUCAAGGUCUCGCAUUCCUCGUCUUAUUGCUUUCCUGAGCAGGUUCUCAUUUUAAUCAGACUUACGGUACUUUCACCCAGCUAUCUCAAAGCACAUAACAACCACUGUAAUUACUGGCAAUAAUGAGCUAAUUAAUUCUUCUGGGUAUUAUUUCUCAAGGAAUAAGUACUACUGUCCUCAGUGUGGGGAUGUGGAAACUGAGAUGUCUUCAGCUUCAUCUUUAAACGUAUGGAUUUGGACACUGUCGCUCCAGAACUCUUCGGGAGAGAUAAGACACGUCGAAUCUUUGAUCGCUUCUGGAGCUGUUUGAGAAGAGCCCUGCUCCCGUUUUCCCUCUGGUGCUGAGGGAAACCACGACAGCUCUCCUUGAAAUAAAGCCCAAAUACGGGAAGCUCACAGGUGGGACUAGGUGAGGGAACUGGAGGAUAACAGCGAGAGGGUUGGGAAGCUCUACCAGCUGUUUUUGGUCACAUUCACUGGUUUUUGUGAUGGGCUCUUCCUGAAUACCUGCUUCAGUCCGGGCUCAGAGCAGGUGGUGAGGGGAGGUUGGGUGCUGAGGCCGUGAAGGCCUCACAGAUCGUGUAUGAUGAGGUGUGAGUCUCUAUCCCCCUGCCUGGUUCAAGGUAGAAAUCCCAAC